CCUAAUACAUGGCAAGUCGAACGCUUCUUCCUAUUGAGUGCUUGCACUGACUGGAAAAGAGGAGUGGGCGGACGGGUGAGUAACACGUGGGUAACCUGCCCAUAAGUAGGGGAUAACAUUCGGAAACGGAUGCUAAUACCGCAUAAUUCUGAUUGCCGCAUGGCAGACAGAUGAAAGGUGGCUUCGGCUACCGCUUAUGGAUGGACCCGCGGCGUAUUAGCUAGUUGGUGAGGUAAUGGCUCACCAAGGCAAUGAUACGUAGCCGACCUGAGAGGGUGAUCGGCCACACUGGGACUGAGACACGGCCCAGACUCCUACGGGAGGCAGCAGUAGGGAAUCUUCCGCAAUGGACGAAAGUCUGACGGAGCAAUGCCGCGUGAGUGAAGAAGGUUUUCGGAUCGUAAAACUCUGUUGUUAGAGAAGAACAAGGAUGAGAGUAACUGCUCAUCCCCUGACGGUAUCUAACCAGAAAGCCAUGGCUAACUACGUGCCACAGCCGCGGUAAU
rnacentral:rRNA from 1 species